GACUGUUUCGUGAUUACAAGAACAACAGCAGCAGAUCUUACACUAGUACAUUUAACCCCAGUGACACCCAGUGUGUACAAUGGUCUAAAAGUCUUUCAGUCGCCAAAUGAUUUAGGACAAUCCAUGCUGAAAAAACAGCAAAAACGUCAAAAUGGUGACAAAGCUCCAGUCCAGAUGACCAAGCGUGCUCAGCCUGGAGCUAAUGUUGUGAACGCUUCUGUAAUGACUGGAAACACCUUCACUGGACCGGUCACCUUUUACAGAUAGGCCAGCCAACUUCAGAGAAGGACAACAGAGCAGUCCUGCUUCUCUGCAGGGAAAUAAGGACACUUAUAAUGUUUGUACUAUACCACAUACAUUAAUGUAGAAUCCUAAAAAGAAUUACAAAUGAUAGACAGACAGACAGAUAGACAGAUGAAUACAUUUCAGAAAUGAAUUUUGGGCAGCUUCUGGUGCUUGAGACUUGAUUUAAGAAUGAGAUCCAAGGUUAAGAAUACACUCAAAGUCACAAAAUAUUUUUCUUAUUCAACAACAUUACGAUGUUUGAUCCCUCAUUUAGUAGAUGUGUAUUUUGGGGUACUGUCAUGUCCUUAUACAUUCAUCACAAUGAAACAUCUCCUCGUUUUUCAAACUAAACAUAGUUUUAAAUCUGUCCAAGUGACCUGAUAUUAAAAUAAAUCUCAAUAAAUGAGAAAUUUGCAUCUGAAUUUUACCUAAAUAAUACCUGACGUAGAAGUUACACCUGAGGUCCCAUACGUUUUUAAUGAAUAAGGAAAGUUUUUAAUAAUACAGUGAUGAACCUUGAAACUCAAAUAAUUAAAGUCAACACACAAGAUAGAAAGAGUCAGAUAGGUCCACCUCCAAGCAUUCUUGAAGAAAAAGUACAUGAUAUUAGAUGCAAGGCCUCUUUUAACUUUGCCAUUGUCUUUCUAUCUUUUUUCGUGCCGUAUUUAUCUCUCUCCGGUUUCUGUGUUCGGUUGGAUGUCGUAAAGAACGAGGAUUUGUGUUUUCUGCUCUCGGAGCUACGAACUGUCAAAGAUGGCUGCAAUGCAUUAUCUAUGGGAUUUUGGUCAAGAUUUUCUAAGCUCAGGGAGGGAGGUACGGGUUAGGUUAGGGGUUGGUUCCUAGUCCAAGAUCUAGACCCCUUUAGGAGUCAAGGACUGGUUAUGCACUGGCCAUCCCUCAACUGAGCACUCGUGCCAAAAGCACAGAUUACCCCAUUACGUCCAGUACGAAAGAUAAUGUGGCCUGUUUUUGACAUGAUAAUACAGUGAGAAUUGAGAUCUAAUCAGGGCCAUGAGAACCAGUCAUAGAGGCAUAUGAAUCUUUUUGGCCUUGAGGUGGGGAGCACCUAGUCUAUUUUGUUCUAACAUGUCUGACAAAUUCCAGUUUGGACGGUAUGUCGCAAUCGCCUUCUGUUUUUGUAAAUACUGUGAGGGUGUGAGGAACUUGAACAAUUAUCUUUCAACGCACUACACUGUUCUGCACAUGAGCUACAGAAGAGAUGAUUUUGUGCCUGUGUUAUGAGCUCGAGGCCGUAGGGGUGAAGUAAGACUUCAGGAUCGGGAACACCCACGCUGUCAAAAAGAGUUCCCAUAGCAGCAAAAAACUGAGAUUGUUCUGAACAGAUUCUGAGACCUAGUGAUUGUGGUGGGAUAAUCUCCCUAAAAGCUGUGUUUGGGGUGAAAGCUGUGUUUUGCCCAUCGAAGUGCUCUCACUUUGCAAAUAAAGUUUGCAAUUGAAUUUGAUGUAAUUUUUUGCAAGAUUAAUCUCCAGUAAUUUCAAAGUGUAUUUGUCGGGACUUUUAGCAUUAGGAAAUUAGGAAAGGCUGUUAAUAUUGAUUGUAAAUAAGAGUGCUUCAGGAGGAAUCUUAAGCUGACUGUGUUUACAUAUGACUCUCUCUAUGUAUUUGAGUGAAGGCAGAUCCUCAUUUAUUUUUCCAUUUAUUUUUCUCAUUCAGCGUAGAUAUAUGCACCUUAUUUUUAGAGGGGUCAUGAACUUAGAAAUCAAAUUUGCCUGGAUCUUUAUGCAUAAAACCAGCCAAUGUACUAUAAAAGCACACUAAAAAACUCAUAACCUUCUGGUUAGUUUAAAAAUAUCUUUUAUUGAACCCAAGCUCAGAAUGUGGAGUGUGCUCUUGAUGAUUUAAUAGUGCAGUGAAAGCCCAGCGCUGCAGGAGAAGAUCAACAUCUGCUUCUACAAACCGCAUCUUUAGCCCCGCCCACUGAUACUCACUUAGAAGAGGAAAUACGCUUUCUUCCACACUGUUUAUAGUAUUUAUUAUUGAUUUGGUUUACUAUUAUUUUAACGGUUUAACAUACAACAUAAAAUAACUAUCCUCCAAAAUAAGGUGUAUAAAGUCUGUUUGAUUAUCUUAGUUUCAUCUAGAGUCAGUGGAUGUCAAACGGUUCAGAUCCAUCAUGGAUCACACAUCUGGAGCUGAAGAUUUGUUUCCAGGAUUCAGGUACUAUGAGAAACACAUAUUAAAUAAUCUAUUAUGUUAUAGAAAGAUGUCUGUCAACAGGAAAAAAAUAUUGCUUUCAAUUAGUAUUAAAGGGGAAAAAGAGAACACCAUUGUGCCAUGUUUCACACUGCAAGCGUGACCGAUGCGUGAUAACCAAGUUAUAGCUCAGUGUGUGUCCAUAAUCUCAUAAUCUCAUAAUCUCAUAAUCUCAAAUGUAAAUUACUUGUGAUGAAGCUAGGUUUUUAUUUGUUGGUUUCUAACUAAUCGUGAGACUAAGUAGCCAGUCUUAAUUUAAAUCGUAAUAUUUUUCUCAGAUGCUGUCAAUAUGAUUUAUAGCUUUUUUGUGUCUGAGUUCGUCUUGUGUCCUUGUUUGUCAUUUGUGCCUUGUUGUCUGUUUUUGUAACUGAAGACCUGGAGCAAUAAAAUCAUUAUUUAUUCUACUUUA